UCCGUCCAUUCCAACUGAUGAAAAUCCAAAUCGAAACACCCUAAUCAGAACCCAGAUCGAAACACCCUAAUCAGAACCUCAUACUCCGUCCAUUCCCCAUCUCUCUUCGACAGACGAAGAAAUCCUCAUUCCACAUCUGGGUCUUUGUUUCAAACCUAAAUCGCGAAAUCAUCCAAACCUCUUUGCAAAUUUCAUGGGUCUCAAUCAGUAGCUCUUUAUCUAUCACUACUACAGUAGGUCGUCAUCUUUUCCAUAGUCUUCUUCCGCUGCUCUUAAGUGGAUUUGCUAUUUCCAAGCCUCUGAGUUAUUGCCACUUUGAGUACGCAAAGUUCUGGUAAGAGAUGACUUGAUUGUUGAGAACUGGUGACCAAGCUUGGAAAAAUGAAGUAGUUUGUGAGAUCAAUUUUGAACUUGCAUCUUGUGAUCAAGAUGAUUGUGAGGUUGUGAGGAAAGUAGGGGGAGGAAAAUACAACAAGGUCUUUGAAGGUAUUAAUCUCAAUACCAAUGAGCGAUGCAUAAUCAAAAUCCUCAAGCCUGUGAAGAAGAAGAAGAUUAAGAGGGAGAUUAAGACAUUUGAACACAGAGGCAUGUUCUUGGAAGACAUUUGUUUGGAUUCUUGAAAUGUGAUCCCUUCUUUUGGAUUUUUGUAUUUAAAACUCUUCAUAAGAUAAUUGCAACAACAUUAGUCAACUCUUUUUUGUCUAUAUUUUAGAUAAUAUACAUUUAUAUUCUAGCUUAUCAUUGAAUGAACCAUUCUCGAUCUGUAAUUUGGAUGAAAUAAACAUCCCGAGUUCUUGUA